UACAGAGGGUGCGAGCGUUAAUCGGAAUUACUGGGCGUAAAGGGCUCGUAGGCGGCCAACUAAGUCAGACGUGAAAUCCCCAGGCUCAACCUGGGAACUGCGUCUGAUACUGGAUGGCUUGAAUUCGGGAGAGGGAUGCAGAAUUCCAGGUGUAGCGGUGAAAUGCGUAGAUAUCUGGAGGAAUACCGGUGGCGAAGGCGGCAUCCUGGACCGACAUUGACGCUGAGGAGCGAAAGCUAGGGGAGCAAACGGG
rnacentral:rRNA from 1 species